rnacentral:rRNA from 1 species
AAUCAACGCUGGCGGCGUGCCUCAGACAUGCAAGUCGAACGCGAAAGUUUCCUUCGGGAAGCGAGUAGAGUGGCGUCCGGGUGAGUAACACGUAGGUAAUCUACCUUUGGGUGGGGAAUAACAACCGGAAACGGUUGCUAAUACCGCAUAAUGCAGCGGCACCACAUGGUGACAGUUGUUAAAGCGGGGGAUCGCAAGACCUCGCGCCUAAAGAGGAGCCUGCGGCGGAUUAGCUAGNGGUAAGGUAACGGCUUACCAAGGCAACGAUCCGUAGCCGGCCUGAGAGGGCGGUCGGCCACACUGACACUGAAAUACGGGUCAGACUCCUACGGGAGGCAGCAGUCGGGUAAUUUUGGGCAAUGGGCGAAAGCCUGACCCAGCAACGCCGCGUGAAGGAUGAAGGUC